AUGGAAUUAUUUCAAAAAUUACAUUCUUUUUUUAUUGUAAACCCUCAAUAUGUUGAAUAUUCAUUACAUAUAUUUAUUACUAAUGGAAUUAGAAGUAAUAAAAAUAAAGUACUUAAAAGAAGUGUCCAUAUUUUUAAAAAAUUUUUAAAAAGUAAUUCUUUUGUUAUUUCUAAUUAUAUAAAAGUAAUUUUACAAAUGUUGGAAUCAUUUUUGGAUAUCCCUUGUGUUUAUCAAGAUAUAGCUAAUAAUACUCGUAACAAUAAAAGUAGCAAUAAUAUGAACACCUUAUUAAAUAAUAUAACUCUCGAUCAAGACACUAUUAAAUCUAUGUAUAAUUAUAUUUAUACUAAUAAAAAUUUUACGCAUGAAGAUCAAAUCAAUAUAUACGAAAUAGUAGGUUUAUUAUUAUUACAAUAUGAUUUUUCAAGAGCUAAAAAAAAUGUAAAAAAUGAUUCCAUACAACAAGGAGAAAAUUUUAAUAGUACUAUUGGAACUAGUACAAUCGGUGGAAUAAACAACGGAUCUGUUAAUAACAUGUUUACUAAUAAUGAAGUACAAACCAAUGAAAUAACUAAUUUAAAUACUCGAAUUGAAAAAAUAAAUGAAAAUUUGAUUCCUAAUUAUAAAGAUAGAAUAUUUUUUUUUAAAAAUAUAUUAAAUAAAUUAUUACAACAUUUAGGAUAUAUUAAAAAUGUUUAUUUAGGUUCGUCUAAACAAUCUAAUGAUGUAUUAUGUCUUAGUUUUACUUGUAGUAUUGUUAUUAAAUGUGUAGGUGCAUUGUGUAAAAAUGUUAAUAUAAAUAUGACGGAUACACUUAUAAAUGAUUUAGACAAUACAUUAGGAUUAAUUAUAACAGAAGCUUUAGAAUUAUUUUAUACAAAUUAUAUUGUUCGUGAUUCUGUUCUUUUUACUUAUCGUAUUUUAUCCAAUCUAUUUAAAGAAUUAUCUCUUAAUUAUACUAUUCGAAUUUUACCAUAUUUUUAUAAUAUAUCAUAUAACAUUAUAAUGGAUAAAAUGAAAAAAAUGAGACUUUUAGAACAAGGGACUGGUACAAACAUAACAAAUGGACAAAAUAAUAAUUCAGAAUUUUUUAAUAUGGUAACACCUGCAUGUUAUCAAUUUACAAAUAAUACAACUACAAAAAAUUUAUAUCAAGAAGAUUUAAAAUAUUUAUAUAACGAAUUAAAUGAACUAAGUAUAUUAGUAUGUCAUCUUAUUACUACAUAUAAAGAAAAAUCAUAUGAUACAUUUCUUAAACCUUAUAUAUAUAAUAUAAUACAAAUUCAUUUAGCUGUAUGGCAAUGUAUUCAUGUACAAUCAAUGGAAAUGCAACGAGAACAAAAUUCUUUACUAACACCUUUAAUACUUAUACUUUAUAAUAUAUCAUUAAAUGUACCAAAUUGUAUGUAUACUUUUAUUGUUCCUGAACAAAUUGCAUUAAAUCAUAAACAAUUUAGUCAACUAUUCCCUACUGAUGAUGUAUUAAAAAAUAAAAUUACAAAUGCAGUAACAAGUAUUAUACUCAUUGCUUUAAAUUAUAACAAUACCAGCAAUAUAAGUAUUUGUUUGUAUGCAUUUCAGAUUUUGUUCAACAUGUUUAGUACAGCAACAGCUGUGGCCAACGCGGAAGAGGUAAAAAAAAAAAAACACACAUUUGUUUACAUAUCAAUACGUACAUAUAUAUAUAUAUAUAUAUAUAUAUAUUUUUUUAGUGCGUGUGUGUACAUACAAAAACGUUUUUUUGUUACGAUAAUUUUAUUUAGGCACACAUAUAUAUACCGCUCAUACAUACAUACAUACAUACAUACAUACAUACAUACAUACAUACAUACAUACAUACAUACAUACAUACAUACAUACAUACAUACAUACAUACAUACAUACAUACAUACAUACAUACAUACAUACAUACAUACAUACACNNNNNNNNNNNNNNNNNNNNNNNNNNNNNNNNNNNNNNNNNNNNNNNNNNNNNNNNNNNNNNNNNNNNNNNNNNNNNNNNNNNNNNNNNNNNNNNNNNNNGGUAAUGCUUAUACAUGUAUGUACAAUUGUAUAUGUGUUGGUGUAGCACACAAAUAUAUUAUGCACAAAUUCGAGUCAUUAUAUAUAUGA
ensembl:lncRNA